CUUAGUGGACUGAAACUAUUAAAUACAUAUUUUAUUUAAUAUGAAAUUUAUUAGCUUAGUAGAUUGACAAUAAAUUUUCAUAUUAUGUAGUUGUUGAAUACAAGUAAAUAUAAUUCCAGUGAUUUUAUUUUUUGUUAUAUAAUUUUAUAUUAAUUUUAGUCCAAUUGAUUUAAAGUAAAAAAAAAAAAUUAAUUAUUUAAAAGUAAAAAAAUUUUAAAUUUCUAUUAUCCCAUAGUGUACCGUACUGAACCAAACCAUCCCGUUAAACUCGAGUCUUCAUACCGAACCGCCUUAAAAAAAUUAGUACGGUUUGGGAUAGUGAUUUUAUGCUAUGGUUGAAUUGUAAAAUUCUCGACAUUUAGUGUGGUUCUAAGAUUUUCAAAUUCCCGAAUUCCCCCUGUUUACCCUUAGUCUCCUGCACCAAAGUCCUCUCAUGCCACUCUGAUCUCCUCGACUUCUCUUAAACAUGUCGAGCACGCCCUAAACUAAGCUAAGCUCCGAUCAAUUUGUAAAUCGAAGUCGUCAAUCCUAUACCCCUAUUGCAACCUAAGCUCCAAUCAACAACGUCGCCACCAUGGCAGUAACAACCCAAAAGAUUGUCGGCUUGCUGAGACUCGUAUGCACACCAGUCCCUCAGUCCCUUUCCUUCUGUCGACCGUUUGCUUUCUAUCGUACCAUCCUGUUACUAUGCUGCCAAGGAUGUCAAUGUCCGUUGCCACCAAAAGCUACCUUGUUGAUUUUUUUAUUUCGACUUUGGGUUUUAGCUGGUAAUUGGGAAUUGUUAUCUUUUGUUAUUUCGGAAAAUCUUUUUCAAUACUUGUGGUUAUGGUUGUUAUUAUUUAUUGUUGUGGCAGUGGGUGGAGAAGGGAACCUAUUAAUGGUAGUGAUGUGCUUUGUUAUUGUUGUUUAUGGAGAAGUUGGCGUUGAUGAUUGAAGGUGGUGGAAGAGGGUGGCAGCAAUGGUUGAAGGCGAGUGGUUUUUAUCGACUCAAUAUCGAUAUUGUUUGGUUACUUGGAGAUGACAAGGUGGUGAUGAUAGUGAGGCGAUAAUAAUGAGGCAGUGGCGACGGUGAGGCGGUGGCGAUGAUGAGGCAGUAGCAAUGGUGAGGUGGUGGCGAUGGCGGUGUUGAGGUGUUUAGUUGCUGACCGACAAAUGUGAUUUCAUUAUUUUCUAUUAUUCAGAGGAAGCUGGCUUGCUUGCUUGUCAACUUGGAAUACUGGGACUCCUUUCCCAGUGACCCCAGCUUCAGAGAAUGGCUUCAAGAGCUCGUAAGGAACAACUCCGGCCCC